UAUGGCCAUAUCUUGUUGAAACACUGGUUCUCAUAUGAUCACUGAAAUUAAGCUAUGUUGAGCCUGGUCAAUACUUAGAUGGGUGACCAUUUGGAAAUACCAGGCUUUG
rnacentral:rRNA from 1 species